rnacentral:lncRNA from 1 species
UCUGUGGCUGGUAAACGGUUUUUGUCUUCUUGAUGUGGGCCACCCCGGCAGCAACGGCCGCUGUCUCGCUCAUCCCGCAGGCGUUCUCUGAGAACACACGGAAGGAAUACGUGUUGCCUAUGAUGAGGUCGGAGAUGGUGCAGCUGGUGCGGGUGCAGCGCUCCAGCACUGUGAACCACUUCCCACUCUUCUUGUCCGACUUCUGCACUGUGUAGCCCUUUAUCUCAGAGUUCCCAUUGUCUGCUGGGGGACUCCACUCCAGGGCCACGUUAAAGCCCCA